UCCGAGUUGACCCCGGCAGUCUCCUACGAGUCCCCGGCAUUACCCGAUGGCAACAUAGGACGAGGGUUGCGCUCGUUGCGGGACUUAACCCAACACCUCACGGCACGAGCUGACGACAGCCAUGCACCACCUGUCUGGGGCCCUUACGGACACUGCAUCUCUGCAGCUUUUCCCCUGAUGUCAAACCCAGGUAAGGUUCUUCGCGUUGCCUCGAAUUAAGCCACAUGCUCCGCCGCUUGUGCGGGUCCCCGUCAAUUCCUUUGAGUUUUAGCCUUGCGGCCGUACUCCCCAGGCGGGGUGCUUAAUGCGUUAGCUGCGACACUGACGGGGUCGCUCCCCCCAGCAUCUAGCACCCAUCGUUUACGGCGUGGACUAC
rnacentral:misc_RNA from 1 species